UACGUAGGCCGCAAGCGUUGUUCGGAGUUACUGGGCGUAAAGAGUGCGUAGGCGGUCCUGUAAGUUUGGUGUGAAAUCUCCCGGCUCAACUGGGAGGGUGCGCCGAAGACUGCAGGGCUUGAGUAUGGGAGAGGUAAGCGGAAUUCCUGGUGUAGCGGUGAAAUGCGUAGAUAUCAGGAGGAACACCUGUGGUGUAGACAGCUUACUGGACCAUAACUGACGCUGAGGCACGAAAGCGGGGGUAGCGAACAGG
rnacentral:rRNA from 1 species